rnacentral:misc_RNA from 1 species
GGUCAAUCCAGAAAAUUUCCGCCGGCGACGAAACUCCGGCGACGUAAUCUCGCCGUUCCAUUUUUUGCAUACUGAAGCUGCUUUAGAAAAUUGAUCCACAGGUAGACGUAUGAGACAUUCAAGAGCUAUUUCAUUAGGUAGCCCCGGGAUGAAGUCCAUGGCUGUAGCUUGCAUUUUUUGUAUUUGAAGUAAUUUUAGUUAUGGUUUUUCCUUUUUCAGAUUUAUGACAUGUGACG